UCCAUCUCUGCAGUGAUCUUGAAAAAUGUGGUGGAAAAAUUUCCCCUCCUCAUUCUGUAUUCAUCCUUUCUUUGUGCAACACCACUGGCUGUGCUGUUAGACAUUGUUGGGAGGAAAGGAUUAAAAAGCAGAAGUCUGGUCAGGAGGAUUGUAAAUGGCUUAAGUGACCUUGCAGCUGGGAAUAACCAUGGAUAAACCUGUGGGAACAGCAGGACUGUGACUUCUAGCAUGGACUGAGUGCAACAGUGCCCAUGUCUCUGCUGAUGUGCCUCUGACCAGGUGCUGCCUCAGGGAUGCCCCUGCUAGCAAGCAAACUUCUGAGAGCAAAAGAGAAACAAGCCUGCUGGUCAGCAACACUAUCUCCUUUGGACACUAUUGCUAGUGACAAAUACAGAUUUUGAGCAUAGCUUCAUCAGUUCCCAUGCUCCAGCACGGGCUCCCUCCCACUGGGACCAGACCUUCACAAACUGCUCCAAGGUUUUCCUCCAUGUAAUAGCAAUCAUUUCCAAGUGAACGUGGAUUUUUUUUGAGGCCUCUGAGAUCUAGUUUGGAAAGACAUCAAAAGGACUUGUUUGAAGUUUGACAUGAGAGCCCCAGUGGAAGCACAGCCAUGGAUUAAACACCAGUUUGACCUAUGAGCUACUGCACAAAAUCUUCACCUAUCUUGAAGUACAUAUUGGCCAGUUGUGAAGCACAUUGCGAAGCAUCCAUUUGCACCUGUAAUGCCGUGGUGUUUGAGGAUCUGACUGUGGGGUGGAGACAUCAGGACUUUAUGCCAUUUUUGUCAUUUCACUAUUUUAUAGCUCAAACUUCUACAUGGAGCCAGAGCAAUCUAAAAUUUUAAAUGUCUAUUAAACUUCCCACCCCUCUGGCAACCAACAUGGCAGCUGCUCUACUGCAUCAAGAAAAAAAUUGCCCUCUUGCAGAUGAACUUUUAGAAAAUGGACUAAUCCUUUUAUACCAUGACUUGCUUUAGACAUGAGACAGAAUGACCUAAGUUUUGAUCUGCACACGUUUGGCCCAAGUCAUGCAGCCCCAUAUCACUUUCACCUUUACUUAAAGACUACACAAAUGAAGAUGGAACUUCUUCUGAAAAACACCCUUGUGCUUUUGCUGUAUUUUCCUCAAGGCAGCCUCCAGGAGGCAAAAAUAAUCCGAGGAGCAGACACUCCUGCUCAAAAUCAAAUAAAUGGAGAAUGAGACAGCAUAUUUUGUGAAGACAACUUUCUUCAAGUCUUUCCUCUGAUGUUGAUGAUACCAGAGCUCUGUGCCUUGGAAUAUGCUAACAGAAGCUGACAUAUGAAAGAGCAGAAUCAAUAAACCUUAAUGGCCCAAAUUUCAGUUGCACUCACUACUUAUUUAAAAAAAAAAAAAAAGAAACUUCUUCAAGAUGAUAAGGUUUUAACCACUGCAUUAAAAACAGCCAGAAAAAAGCUAUCUUACCAUAUACAGAAUGACAUAUUUGUAGGAUUUUACACAGAGAAAUGCUAACAAAGUUUGUGCAUUGAUUAUGUUUUGUAAUUUAAAAUAUCCUGAUAUUAUCUUAAGAGACAGAGCUUUAACUUUAGAAGAGCAGUGACUCAGGUGAUCCACCUCACAUUUUGCAAAGCUUGAGUACAAACUAUGCCUUAGACAUCUUGUGUUAUGACAAAUGCAAUAUACACUUUCUACCUUCAGGUUGCCUUAAAAGAAAAUUAGAGGGGGAUAUUUUUAGAAGUUUAUUUCCCAGAAGGAUCAGAUAGUAAUUUCUACUUCACUUUUCCUUUUCUUUAUGUAUACAGUUCUCUAAAAGUAAGUGGUUCUUUAAGAACCACAGAGUAUUUUAGUGGCAAAUUUAACUAUUAACAGAUCUACUGAAAGAAAAAUACACUGGUUACAUAAGAAAAGUUUAAAAAUUCUGAAAGAUCCAGAAACUUUUACAUUCACGUCCCAAAAUUGCCCCUACUUCCAAAGAUAUAAAACCUAAGAUUUCUUUCCAAGUACACUCUCCAGUUUAUCAACUAAGUAAUAAUUUUAUUUCUGGUAAAUGUAAUUGGAGAAUGAAGAUUGAAAUUCAGAAUCCACAGUCAGUUGUCUGAUAAACCUGAGGCAUUGACAGAGGAAAGGUUUUAAUCUAAUUUUCACUUAUUAAUAUUUUCUUGAAUUUAUUGUCAGUAUUAAAUAUUAUAGAAGCCUCUAAUGGGAGAAAUGCACUAGUACUGUAUCUAGAAAUUGGCUAUCUAAGGUCAUGAGAAAAUAAAAUCAGUUUUCAUCUAUGAUAAAUACCAGGUUUCAUUCAAAUAUAAUUGUAAUUUAUGGAGUAAUAUCUAAGCAAGGUAAUUAAUUGAUCAAAGAUGUUUUCCUAGAAAGGAAAAAUAAUCUUUAGCACCAAGGUGUUGCAUUCACUACAGUACAUUACAUUAAUUCUCCUGUAUCCCAUUUGUCCCAAACUUCAGCAAUGUAUAAACAUUAGGCCAAACUUACAAUGUGCCUAUAUUAAACAAACCUUAUUUAGGAGAAUAAAUUCAAACCUGACUUUCAGCUGUUUAUCCUGCCAAAAUUCCUGCCCCCAACUAACAUUUGCUAUGUCCUAAUGCUCAUUUUAUUUCAUUUAUUCCUUUGACAAAUAGUGAGGUUUCAGUGAUAACAACAGCCCAGGAAGCCACUCCCUGCAGCUGUUCUUGUCGCACAGGGUCACAGCAUUUACACAUUGGUGCCUUUAGGCAAGUGCCUGAGUGCACUUAUCAGCAUUUCCUAAGGCACUUAUGAUUUUAAGACAAAGUAGGAACUUGAAGAAUCACUGUAAAGGGUGCUUCAAAGAGGUUCAGGAAGCUCGACUGUCACUUUAGGAAAUAAUGAUAUCUUUAGAAUACACAGUAAGACAUUCUUCAAGGCUAGCAAAAGUCUUUAAAAACCUGGCUAUACUGCAUUAAUACUAAUUAAUUAGUUCUUUACAAGCACAGUACAAAACCCACCUCAGCUCUGGCAGGUGGCAAGGUGGUAGGAAAAGAAUUCUGCUGAAGGGCCCUUCUGGCAUACAGGGUCAGGUAGGAAAAACUGGAAAAAGUAAUAGAAGAGAUUUGGGCACCUUAGGCAAGAUAGAAAGCAGAUAAACUGUCAGAGAUAAGUGUUAGAAAACUAGAAUGUGCACAGGGGAUCAGCAGGAGGGGAAAAAACUCUCAGUGGUGGAAGGUCUCAGUAAUGUGGUAGAUUUGGCAGCUAACUUUCAGAAGUUCAGAAGUAAAGUAGUACUGACUCAAGGGAGAAGAACACAAAUUGUGGUUUUAAUUGUUAGAAAAGAAAAUAAUCAUUACCUUGGAAAGAUGCUUUGUGGGGUGGUCAGAUACAGACCUAAGAGUACAGACAAUGUCUCCAAUGCAGAGUAAGACCAACAAGGUGACCCACUUAGUAGAUGGCAGAAAGGCUGUGGAUGUCACCUCUCUGGACUUCAGUAAAGCCUAUUACACCAUUUUCCACAACAUUCUCUGGAGAAUAUGGCUUUUAUGACUUGGAUAAAUGCACUGCUUCCUGUCCAAAACACUGUCUGGAUGGCCAGGGCAGAGUUGUGGAAAAUGAAGUUACAUACAGCUGGCUGCUGGACAUAAGUGAUGCUGUCAGGGCUCAGUUUAGGGGUCAGUCUUGUUCAAUAGCUUUAUCAAUCAGUUUGCAGAUAACACCAAGUUGGGUGGGAGUGCUGAUCUGCUGGAUGGUAGAAAGGCUCUUCAGAGAGAUGUGGACUGGCUGGAUUGAUGGGUCAAGGUGAACUGUAUGAGGUUCAGCAAGGUGAAGGGGCAAGUCCUACAGCUGAGUGACAACAACCCCAUGCAGCUUUCCAGACUGGCUGGAAAGCUGUUCGGUGGAAAAAAAGCCUGGGGAUGCUGGUGAACAGCACCUGAACAAGAGCCAGAGAGUGCCCAGGUGGCUGAGAAGGCCAGUGGCACCUGGUCUGGAUCAGCGGAGGUGUGGCCAGCAGGAGCAGGGCGGGGAUUGUCCCGUAUACUCAGCACUAGUACAACACUCCAACACAGACAUUGAGGGGCUGGAGCAAGUCCAGAGGAGGGCAAUGGUGCUGCAGAAGGGUCUGGAGCACAAAUCGGUGAGAGAGCUGGAGUUUGGAGAACAUGAGACUCAGGGAAGACCUCAUCCUUCUCUACAACUCCCUGAAAGUAAGUUGUAACCUACCAGCUGUAGGUCAGCCUUUUCUCCCAGGUAGCAAGUGAUAGGAUGAGAGGAAAUGGUCACAAGUUGUGCCAGGGAAGGUUCAGAUUCAAUAUUAGGAAAAAUUUCUUCAUGGAAAGAGUGGUCAAGCAGUGGAACAGGGUGCCUAAGCAAAUGGUUGAAUCACCAACCCGAGAGGGAUUCAAAAUACUUGUAGAUGUAGUGCUCAGUGUCAUGGUUUAGUGGUGGACUUGGCAGUGCUGGGUUAAUGGUUGGGCUGUAGGAUCUUAGAGGCCUUUUCCAACCUCAAUAAUUCUGUUGAUCUAUGACAGGAUGAUUAAAAUGUCUAAAGAACUCAUAAAGGUUGACAAAUUGAGAUAUUUUGUCCAUUCAAAUCUUGGCUAAAUUAAAUUCUAAAAAUCUAUAGAUUACAGGAAAGGAUUAUUGCAAGUCACUAGGAACAUGAAGGGGUGAUGUUUUUGGGCCCUAUAAACAGCUGGUGAAAGGGAGAGCAAAAAAUGUGCAUAGAGAAUGAGCGACAUGCAGAAGAAACAGUCAUAUCAAUUUUGCAGUGAGGGAAACUAACACCACAUAAUCUACUGGCAAACUGCUUCAAACCUUGAAAUAUUUUUGUUUCUAUUAAAAUUAAGUAUGCAUUUGCAAGAUAUAAUGAUUUGUGUAAGAAAAGCAGAAACUUUGGUGUGCACAUCUAUCUAACAGAAGCCCAGGUAGGAAGGGGAAGGACUCUCCUUCUUUCAGAGUUUAUCUGUGGUGCAACUCUUCCCCAAAAAAAAUAUGAAAAACCCAUAAAUUGCAAUAUCUUUGCUGCAACAAUGACCCCAUAAGAAUUUUUAUGAAGGAGACUAGCUAGACUUAAUAUACUUACAAAUCUAGUAGUUAUAUUAUGAAAAAAAAAAUACUCCCAUCCUGGUGUAGGAAUAUCCACAUGGAAGACACAUUAUUGAAUAAUUAUUCCAUGUGGACUGUUUCCAUAAUCAUACAUAGAUCAACAAUUAUAGUCUGUGCAUGCAGUACCUGUAGAGAGAGGGGACUGUUUUUCAGUCCUGGCAGUCAAGAGGUCAAAGCAGAAAAGAGUUAUAAAAAGAUUUAUUUAAAAAAUAUAUAUGAAAUUUAUUGAAGUACAAAAAACAUACAGCUAAAUAAUAAAUGUACUCACUCAAAUGCCAGGUGAUUUUAAAGUUUUGGUAAUCAUUCCUUAUAUUAGAAUCUCCCUAAAACUGGAGUACUGACUUACAGGAUGAUUUGAGUGUGUCAGUACCAUAACUGACAUCCCAGCUAGCCUUUGUUGGCAAUAUAGGGGCAUUAUGAGGUACAAAUUUGUCUUUGGAAGCAAAUGAUCUAAAAUUAAACACUUAAUCACAUAAUUUCUAGUUAGCAUUCUAACUUUGUAAUCUCUUAUACCAAAUGCAAAGAUAUAUAACAAAACUUAAAAAAUUCGUUCUGAAAGGCAGAAUUUAGAUAUUCAGUAGUAAAACAAUGGAACUGCAACAAAUACACAUUCUGAGCUUUUCAAUCAUGUACCACGGCACAAAUAUUCUCACACUAUUGCACUAUUCCAUUAAAUGUGCACUGAAAGAAAAAAAAUUACACUUAAGUCAAAACAAUAUCUAGUGGAAUAAAACUUUCCACUUAAGGCUACUGUCCAGUAACAUUAAGAAAUAAUAUCACCUCUUUAUAGUGAUUAUCUAAGCUCACAUGUUUUUAAAUAUUAAUUAUUUUCUCUAGGAAAUCUAGAGUUUUCUAGAUAAUAUGCCACUUGAGCAAUGAAAUAUUUAAGACAACAAAUCCUUUUCUGCUUAGGACAGAAAUUGUUGUCAUUUAAAGUAGCUUCAAGUAUUUGAAAUCAAGAGCUCUUAAUAACAAGUGUGAGUUGGAAUUUUGUGAUUGUUCAUUAUUUGUGAAUUAUUUUGUGAUUGUUCAUUAUUUGUGAAUUAUUUGUUCAUUACUUCUGAAUUAUUUUGUGAUUGUUCAUUAUUUGUGAAUUUCACAAUUAUAAGUUUGGAGUUGGAAAAACACAGAAGGAGCUGAUUUCUUUAGAUUGUCUUAUAAUCAGCAAAGACUGCCUAAAACUGAAUGAAGAGCUUAUCACUUCGCUGGUGAUAAGACACCAGCUUGGUAUUUAGUAAACUUGUAUUUUCUGCUACAAUUUUACUUUGCAUUAAUGAAAUAAUAAUUUAGGGCAGAAUCCUGACUCCACUGAAAUCAAUGGCAAACCCUCAUUGUCCUACUGAAGUCCAAACCACAUUUUCAUUUGCUGUUUGAUUUUUGUUAGCAAAAUCAGAAGAGGAUGUCACACCGUUUCUAUUUCCUAUUUAAAUUGUAAGAACCUUCGUGUAUGGACUGUCUUUUGGACACAAUGAAAUCUUAAGUAUUUUAAAUGAAUUUUUUUACUUUAUUCUUUUUACCUUUUUGAUUUGUACUCUUGUUACAACAGAUAUUUGUAUAUAGUCUUUAGUUAAUAAAGAU